rnacentral:lncRNA from 1 species
UUUUUAUUAUCUUUGCUGUUGUGCCCUCCCUGGAUGGGUGCUGGCACAUGAUUUCUUGCCUGCUGGUCCGUGGUUGCACUCUCACCAUGUGGAUGGAGCUCGGCAGCUGAAAAUGCAUUCUUCCACCAAGAUGAUUUACACAGCCUAGCUGGAUCAGGAGCCCCCUAAUAAGCUGCUUCAGAUUGUAAUAUAGACGCAGUAAUGUAUGCCUGCAGGCUGAUUCCCACCUUCUUCAUUAGUCUUGAGGUUUGAGAUUCCCUGUUUGUGUCUGCAGGAUUCAGAUAGUAAUGGAUAUCCUGCAAGCCGGCUUCGUAGAGUCUCCCUUGAAAGUGGACCUCGUGAUCUAGCCUUUAUGUCCGUGGAUUGACACUGUGAUGGAUUCCCCCCAAGUUCAUUUAGAUAUUCUCUCUUAUUCAUAAAUGUCACGGUCAGCUCUGUUCUUAUAGAUACCAGAAUGGAUACCCCAAGAAUGGAUACCCCUAAGCUGAUGUAUAUACACCCUUCCUCGGUUGCGAGAUUCCUGCUCUGGUGGUUGUAGUCAUAAGAUAUACAUCGUUGCGUACACCUUGGUUGUGGGCACGCACACUACUGUUGAAUUACCACCUUGUCCAAGUGGAUGGAUGCCCUCAAUGGGAUUUGGCACAUUCUCCAUUGCUCCUGCGCUCUGUUAUCAGCACUUCGGGUUCAUAAUGUACACACAGCAAUGGAUUUUCUGCAGCUGAUUUUCCAUAUUCUGUUUUCUUCGGGUAAGCAGAAACAGAUGCCUUCCUCACUGGUCACCAGGUUCAAGGUCCCUCAUAUGUGUCAGGUGCAUAGUCACCAACAAAGGCCAACUUCACAUCAAUGGGUGGAUCGUACCUCGGCCUAAGCUCCAGGAUUGAUUGUGCUGUUAGAGUCACAGCUACAACC